CAGUCGCCGCGGUAAUACGUAGGGGGCGAGCGUUGUCCGAAGUUACUGGGCGUAAAGCGCGCGUAGGCGGCUUCUUAAGUCUGAGGUGAAAGGUUCAACGCUUAACGUGAACAGUGCCUUGGAUACGGGGGAGCUUGAGUAUGGGAGAGGGCAGUGGAAUGGCUGGUGUAGCGGUGAAAUGCGUAGAUAUCAGUCGGAACACCCAUGGCGAAGGCAGCUGCCUGGCCUAAUACUGACGCUGAGGUGCGAAAGCGUGGGGAGCGAACGGGAUUAGAUACCCGCGUAGUCCCUGUCUCUUAUU
rnacentral:rRNA from 1 species